UUGGAGUCUGAAACACUGUGAUGAUGGAUUACCCACUGUAAGAUAAUAAAGAGUAGCUGCAUUUUAUCUGGGGAACUGAUGCUAUUAUUACCACCCAUGUAUUUGGAGAGAAGAGGAAAGGAAUUCGAGUAAAAAUUUAAAAAUAGACUGGCAUGAAGGAGGUGGCCAGAGCAAGUCCCAUAUCCAGAAGCCAGGAGUGAAGGAAAGAAGGAAAAAGCUGGAGGUCACAUUGCAGAGGAUUUAGAUACUGGGAGGAAUGGAAACCUGGUCAUUUUGGUGAUCUGCCACAAUCUGAUUUACCUGCAUUGAAUCAACAGGUGUCUUUGCCAACUACAUCCCUCAGUAUCCAAAGCCUUAUUUUCCAAAUGGAGAAAAGAGAUCAUCAAAAUUGAAUUCUGUUCAUGCUUCAUAGAGAAAUGAAAUCUUUCCAUCAUGAAAAAUGAGUAUCAGGUGCUUGUGAUUUCCUUUUAUCAGCUGUUAAUCAGAAGAGACGAGGAGAGCAGAGCGCACUAAUGAAGAGACCAGCCACGGUGAAGGCAGUGGUAUUGGAGGAAGCUUUGUGACUGUUAAUUAGGUGAUGGCCUUGGGAAAUCCACUGCAAGGGUGAGAAAUGGAGAGGAAGCUGAAUACUGGGAAGCAUCUCCCUGGGCGGAUAACAUCUGAUGUAUUGAUGCUGGAAUGCUAUGAGUUAUAUGAACUUGGUUUUGAGCAGGGGGGCUCUGGUGUUUUGAAGCUGCUAUAAGACCUUAGCUAACAGGCCUUCUAUGCCUUAGCAAUGUUUUAUAUGUAUAAGUUAGUAAGUAUUCAUAUCACCUCUUAGCAUGAACACUCUGGAAACAUUGUAAUGUACGUUUGUAACUUGGUGGGGGGCUGCCAAAUAUCUGGGCUCCUUUUUUUUUUAGAACUGAAAGAACUCCUGAUUUUGAGAGCUGGUAGAACAACAACAACAACAAAAAAGCCCUAUAUCCAUUCCCAGGCUCCUCUGCAGCUAGGACACAGGCAUGUGGCCUGAGAUUGUGUAAUUAGAUAAACCUACCCUAGACUGUGAUGGAAAGAAAGAGCACAACAGGCGCCAUUUUCUUGGUAGAGAUGGUGGCAACUGCGGUGGUGGGGAUGGUAGAAACUAUGACCACAGCUCAUGGUGUUGUCAGUGCAAGCUGUGCUGGUCUGU